AAGCAGGGCAUAACACACGGCCAGGGGGAAGGAAGAUAACUCAGAAUGGUCAGUGGUUAUGCAAGUCCCUCGCCAUCGUCGUCACCCCCAACUCCCAGAUCUCCACUUCCUGUGAGUGUAGGACCUGCACAUCACCAUUACCAUUUCUCUUCAUCUCCUUCUCCUUCCCCGCCAUUCUCACCACCCUCUUCCCCUCAUGCAGACAUCCUCUACCAGACAGCCUCAUUUUCCCUAGAUCACCAACUCCAACCUCAUCAUAAGCUCCAUUCCACAUGCUCCUCCUGCCUUUUAGACUUGUUGAAAUGGUUCUUUCAGAGAUGUUGCACCUUUUUUUCAACCAGAAAAAGAUGUCACCAGCUCACACAUCUUAACGACUGCCGCAAAACAGUUGAGUGUAUCAGAGAAAAAGCAAAGCCAGACAGACUGGCUUUAUAAGAUCCCUGAUCCUCAGUUAUUAUUUCACGAUACGCCCUAUGUUACUGAACAAGUAUCUUAGAAUUUAAGGAAAAAUGUCAUUCCAAUUGCUUCAUUUGGAUUGCAUUCUUAGUGUCUCAAAUUGACACGCCAAAUAUAGCUUCUAACUUGGGUACAAGGAAUCUGUAAAAAAGAUGUGGAGUGGCAAAUAAAUGCUGAUGGCAUGAUCUUCUGAUUUACAUUUAGUACUGAAUAAUGUACAAGACAUGUAAUUUUACAAUCUUCUUUUAACAAAUGUAAUGUUUUAAUUAAAA